rnacentral:tRNA from 1 species
GCGCCCGUAGCUCAGGGGACAGAGCGGCGGACUUCUAAUCCGUUGGUCGAGGGUUCGAAUCCUUCCGGGCGCGCCG